rnacentral:rRNA from 1 species
AGUGAACGCUGGCGGUAGGCCUAACACAUGCAAGUCGAACGGCAGCACAGUAAGAGCUUGCUCUUACGGGUGGCGAGUGGCGGACGGGUGAGGAGUACAUCGGAAUCUACUUUUUCGUGGGGGAUAACGUAGGGAAACUUACGCUAAUACCGCAUACGACCUACGGGUGAAAGCAGGGGAUCUUCGGACCUUGCGCGAUUGAAUGAGCCGAUGUCGGAUUAGCUAGUUGGCGGGGUAAAGGCCCACCAAGGCGACGAUCCGUAGCUGGUCUGAGAGGAUGAUCAGCCACACUGGAACUGAGACACGGUCCAGACUCCUACGGGAGGCAGCAGUGGGGAAUAUUGGACAAUGGGCGCAAGCCUGAUCCAGCCAGACCGCGUGGGUGAAGAAGGCCUUCGGGUUGUAAAGCCCUUUUGUUGGGAAAGAAAAGCAGCAGGUUAAUACCCCGCUGUUCUGACGGUACCCAAAGAAUAAGCACCGGCGAACUUCGU